rnacentral:rRNA from 1 species
AUUGAACGCUGGCGGCAGGCCUAACACAUGCAAGUCGAACGAGUGGCGGACGGGUGAGUAAUGUCUGGGAAACUGCCUGAUGGAGGGGGUAAACUCGUGGAACCGGUAGCUAAAACCGCAUACCUUCGGAUGUGCCCAGAAGGGAUUAGGCAGUAGGUGGGGUAAAGGCUCACCUGGGCGACGAUCCGUAACUGGUCUGAGAGGAUGAUCAGUCACACUGGAACUGAGACACGGUCCAGACUCCUACGGGAGGCAGCAGUGGGGAAUAUUGGACAAUGGGCGAAAGCCUGAUCGAGCCAUGCCGCGUGUGUGAAGAAGGUCUUCGGAUUGUAAAGCACUUUAAUUUGGGAGGCGUUACCAACAGAAUAAGCACCGGCUAACUUCGUGCCAGCAGCCGCGGUAAUAC